rnacentral:rRNA from 1 species
CACGUAGGGCGCAAGCGUUGUCCGGAAUUAUUGGGCGUAAAGAGCUCGUAGGCGGUCUGUUACGUCUGCUGUGAAAACCCAGGGCUUAACCCUGGGCUUGCAGUGGAUACGGGCAGACUAGAGGCAGGUAGGGGAGAAUGGAAUUCCCGGUGUAGCGGUGAAAUGCGCAGAUAUCGGGAGGAACACCGGUGGCGAAAGCGGCUCUCUGGAACGGUACUGACGCUGAGACGCGAAAGCGUGGGGAGCGAACAGG